UCUUGUUUCUGGAUGGUUCCACAGGUAAAUAUCAUGUUUCUGGAUGGUUCCAUAGGUAAAUAUCAUUUUUCUGGAUGGUUCCACAGGUAAAUAUCAUGUUUCUGGAUGGUUCCACAGGUAAAUAUCUUGUUUCUGGAUGGUUCCAGAGGGGUAAAUAUCAUUUUUCUGGAUGGUUCCAGAGGGGUAAAUGCUAUUUUUCUGGAUGGUUCAUGAGGACUUGGAGGUAUACAAGGAAGGGCACUACUGAUCACUAGAAAUCACAACUCAUUUCAGCAGUCUUUAGCCAGAAUUAGAAUGACUUGUAUGGACUUUGAACCACUGACCGUGGCAAUUUGACUGGUAAACCAAUCAUAGUACUAAUUAUAAUUAUAUGGCCAGGGUCUGGCUGAGGACCACCUGUGGUUUCCACCCUCCAUUCAGGAACUGCUGCCCUAUUUUGUGCUAAACACUAUAACCAAAUCCCAAAAUGCCACCCUAUUCCCUAUAUAGUGCACUACUUUAGACCAGAGUCCUAUGGCACCCUAUUCCCUAUAUAUAGUGCACUACUAUAGACCAGGGCCCUAUGGCACCCUAUUCCCUAUUAAUAGUGCACUACUUUAGACCAGAAACAU
ensembl:lncRNA